GACGAACGCUGGCGGCGUGCUUAACACAUGCAAGUCGAACGGAAAGGCCCUGCUUUUGUGGGGUGCUCGAGUGGCGAACGGGUGAGUAACACGUGAGUAACCUGCCCUUGACUUUGGGAUAACUUCAGGAAACUGGGGCUAAUACCGGAUAGGAGCUCCUGCUGCAUGGUGGGGGUUGGAAAGUUUCGGCGGUUGGGGAUGGACUCGCGGCUUAUCAGCUUGUUGGUGGGGUAGUGGCUUACCAAGGCUUUGACGGGUAGCCGGCCUGAGAGGGUGACCGGCCACAUUGGGACUGAGAUACGGCCCAGACUCCUACGGGAGGCAGCAGUGGGGAAUAUUGCACAAUGGGCGGAAGCCUGAUGCAGCAACGCCGCGUGCGGGAUGAAGGCCUUCGGGUUGUAAACCGCUUUCGCCUAUGACGAAGCGUGAGUGACGGUAAUGGGUAAAGAAGCACCGGCUAACUACGUG
rnacentral:rRNA from 1 species